rnacentral:rRNA from 1 species
UAGAUAGACGUGCAUGUCUUCUAUGGUGUGCUUGUACUGUGGGGGCGCGAAGGGCUCAUUAAAUCAGUUAUAGUUUAUUUGGUGGUACCUUCUUACUCGGAAUACCCAUUAAAUCCUUAGAGCAAACACGUGCGUAACCCCCGAUUUGGAAAGGGGACGUAUAUUUUAUAAAAAGGGCCGACGACUUUUUCUCACCCCCGGGGGAACCCGGGAUCUUUUCCAAAAGCGCAGGCCUUUGUGCCGGCCCUUUCCCUUUCAAUUUUGCCCCCUAUAAUUUUUCGGGGGGGGGAGAGGGCCCUACCGGGGGGGAAAGGGGUGAGGGGGGAUUGGGUUUCUAUCCGGGAGGGGGACCCUGAAAACGGCCCCCAAUCCGGGGAGGGCCCGGGCGCGCAUUUACCCAAUCCGGAUACGGGGGAGGUAGUCAAAUAAUAUAACAAUACCGGGCUUUUUAGUGUCGGGUAAUUGGAAUGAGUACUCUCUAAACCCCCUUACCCGGAUAUCCUUUGAGGGGGCAAUCUCUGGGCCCGCCCCCCCCGGUAAUUCCGCUCUCCAAUACCGUAUGUUAAUUUUUUGAAUUUAAAAACCUCAAUUUGGAUUUCGGUGUGGGUUCUAGCGGCCCCCCUAUGUGGACAUAGUUUGCCCUCCUAUCUCCGGGGGACGAGCUCCGGGCUUCUCGUCGGGAUCGGAAUCCGCUUGUUCCUUCGAUGACUAAAUGUUUCAACAGGCUUCCCCCUGAUACUUACCCUGGAAAAACCGGAUGGACUCUGCCCUAUCUUGGUUGUAGACUGGAUCUAAGAAUAAAGGACACAUCAGGGCAUCUAAUUCAAUGGCCAGUCAAGUCUGAAUUUGAAGCCACUAUGCGAGCGUGCUAGGUGCAUACGUCACUGAGCUCGACGAAGAAAGUUGGGUCUAAACUGACUAAAUUGGACGAACGUGUCUAAGUGGCGAAGUUGAACUUCAGAUCCGCGCUCACAU